UCUCUCCCCUUGAUAAAAUGUAAAUUCAUCCAGGGCAAGGACUGUUCAAUUUUGUCUUUGUAUCCCUAGCACAAUGGUUGGCAUAUAAUAGUCAGGUAAAAAGUGUUUGAUGAUUGAUUGAUUGGCAGGAAGCAACACUACUGACCAGAUUUAGGGUACUAAGCAGGAACAUUUUCUUUCUUUUUUUUUAAAACCCUUAUCUUCUGUUUUAGAAGCAAUAUUGUGUAUUAGUUCCAGGGAAGAAGUGUGGUAAGGGCUAGGCAAUGGGGGUUAAGUGACUGUAGUAGAGUAUUUGUUAGUUAAUUAAGAGUUAAUUAGGAAAUAGUGUUAAUUAACAAAAUUUAUUGAUGGAUAAGAGAGAGUUGAGUUAGUUGGAUUUCUUUAAGUCAGAAUGGAAUCUUAGAGGUAUGAUGGGAAGAGAAUGAUCCCAAGGAGCAUUGGGAAAGACAGUUGGACCAACAGCUGACUCUUAAUGAUUCUGAAUAAGGAAGGUUGUUUGAAGAGCCUGCUCUGUGAGUUGGGAGAAUUUCUGGUGAAUUCAUCUUUUGAAAAACAUCUUAUCCAAAACCAGAGGAGAGUGUUGGGUGCAGUACCUGUGCUUGCCCCAGUAGGUGGCAGAAAAGAGCGAGCUGCUUGAGUGGAGAACUUGGUGGCAGCUGGUUGGCAUAGUGAACAGAGUCCUGGGCCUGGAGUCAUAAAAACACAUCUCCCUGAGUUCAAAUCUGGCCUUAGACACUUGCUAGUUGUGUGACCCUGGACAGGUGUCUGGACCCUGGACAUCAUUGCUAUUAAGCACCUUGUCACAUCCCAAAUUAGUUAUUAAAACGAUUGAGGAUAUUAACAGAUGAGACCAGUCUAUUAUCCACAUUUCAAGCAAAGGAUCAGAAAUGGAAAGGAUGCUCUGCAAUUGGGGAAUGGCUAAAUAAUUUGUGGCAUAUGAUUGUGAUUGAAUACUACUAUACCAGAAGACAUGAUGAGCAGAUUAAUUUUGGAAAAUUUUGGAAGAUCUUCAUGAAAUAAUGAUGAGUGAAAUGAGCAGAACCAAAAGGACAUUUUAUACAGCAACAGAAAUAUUUGAAAAAUGACUUGAGCAUGUCCACUUCCAGAGAAAGAACUGGAAUGAUGAACAGGAUGAUUUCAGAAACAGCUGGAAAGACCUACAUGAACUGAUGCAGAGUGAAAUAAGAAGAACCAGGAGAACAUUAUACACAGUAACAGCAAUAUUGUAGAAUGAUCAAAUGUGAUGGACUUUGCUACUAACAAUAGAUAUACUAUUACAUAUAAUACAAUGAUCCAGAAGAAUUCUGAGGGACUUUUGACAAAAGAAUGCUAUCCAUCUCCAGAGAAAGAGCUGUUGGAAUAGAAAUGCAGAUGAAAGCAUAUGAUUUUUCCCUUGUUUAUUGGGGUACAUGAUUUGGGGUUUUGGUUUUAUAAAUUAUUCACUUACAAAAAUGAGUACUAUGGAAAUGUGUGAUAAUACACAUAUUACCCAGAUUGAAUUGUUUGCCAGCUGUGGGAGGAGGGAGGUAAGAAAGGAAGGAGACAAUUUGGAUCAUAUAACUUCGGAAAACUUAUGUGGAAAUUUUUUAUUAAAAUAAAAAUAAAAUAAAAUUCAAACUUAUACAUCAAUAAAAGUAUAUUCAAGUAUAUUAUUUUCUCAUAGCUCCUGUCUCUCACCAUCUUAAUAUAGAUAAUCUCUUAUUUUGUAGAAAAAAAGGAAACAAGACAAUGUCUUUGAAAAAAGUAAAAAAAAAUCUCUUUUUUUCUUUUAUCACUAUUCCAAUGGAAGAAAAAAUAAAAAAUAAAAAACCUGGUAACAAAUAUGCACAGUCAAGCAAACCAAAUUCCUGUGUCAGUCAUGAAAAAAUUCUCUUCUUAUUCUCUACCCUGAAUCCACCACCUUGCUGUCUGGAGGUGAGUAGCAUAUUUCAUCUUCAGACCUUGGGAAGAGUGAGUUCGUCAUUACACUGAUCAGCAUCCUAAAACCUUUCAAAGUUAUUUGUCUUCAUAAUGUUAUUAUGGUUCUCUUAAAACCAAAGUCUCUGGCAGCAUGGAGUCUUAAAUAAUGUCAUAUACAAACACUGCGCUUCUUGAGGGCAGAGUCUGUUUUUGCUAUCAUUUCUAUGCCCAUUGCUUAGAACAGUAUUCCUGGCACAUAGAAAGUGCCUAAUAAAUGCUUGUUGGAGGAAGAGAAUAAUCAUUAAAACUUAUAUCUCCAUGCAAUUGGGAAAACUAUUAAAUGAAAUAAUGAAUGCUUGUUGACUUGAUUUCCAGAAUAUAAUGAUGAUAGUGGUGUGAUUAUAGUAUUAAUAUUUUAAAAAGUUUUCCUAGGAGGCAGCUAGGUGACUCAAUGGAUUGAGAGCCAGACCCAGAGAUGGGAGGUCCUGGGUAAAAAAAUCUGGCCUUAGACACUUCCCAGCUGUGUGACCCUGGGCAAAUUACUUAGCUCCCAUUGCCCAGCCCUUACUGUUCUUCUGCCUUGCAACCAAUACACAGUAUUGAUUCCAAGAUGGAAGGAAAGGGUUUAAAAAACAAACAACUUUCCUAAUCCUCCUUUUCUACAAAUGCUAGUGCCAGUUCCAAGUCUGUAGUAUUUAUUUGGUCCAUCCUUCUAUAUAUACCUAUUAUCUCUCUCUUAAAGAAUGCAAACUUUGUCAGAGUACAGAAUCAUUUCCUUCUUUGUGUUCAUCUCUCCAUUCCUGUACAUAGUAGACACUUAAUAAAUGUUCAUUUACUAUUGAUGAGCAUCCCUGGAAAGAUUCCCAGGGGAAAAAAAUCCUGAUGAGGGUCACAGAAGACUUGAUUCUAGCUUUGCUACUAAUUCUUCAUGUGACCAAUCGCAAGUCACUUAACCUGCUUGGGUUUCGAGUUUCUCAUUUGUAAAAUUGGAUCAUAAUAAUGGCUGUCCCAUUUUCUUCAUAGAGUUACUAUGGGGUAAAGUUGAGAAAUAAAUAUGAAAGUACUUUGAAAAGUUCUAAGCACUGCAGAUAUGAGCUAGAGUUCACUUCCAUCAAAAGGGAAAGGAGAAAAAGGAACUGGAAAAUAUCCAUAUUAGCUCUUUUUAAAAAAAAUACUUUCUGUCUUAGUAUCAAUUCUAAGAUGGAAGAAUGGCAAGGACUAGGCAACUGGGGUUGUGACUAGUUCAGGGUCACACAGCUAGGAAGUAUGUGAGACCAGAUUUGAAUUCAGGUUCCUCCAACAGGCUUGGAUCUCUAUCCAAUGUGCCCCUAUUCAUAUUCAUUCUUAUAAUAAGAUGGCCAUCCUUGUCACUGGAAUUUGUCUACAUUCUCCUGUUUUGGUCAGCGGGCACUGGUGUUGCAAAUCACUCUUGCCAGACUAGACUGGCAAGAUUGCACACCAAAAUGGAAGUGACUAGGAAUUAUAAGCCUAGUUAUAUAAGAGUAUUUAGUUUUCCUAAAAAAAAAAAAAAGAAUGUGUUUUCUAUAAGAGGGGAGCUGAGUGAGACAUGGGGGUUGAAGGGUAGGAAUGGGGGCAGGAAUGCAGCUGCAUUGAUGUGGGACAGAACAUCAGUGAGUCUGAGUCAUCCCAGACAGAGGUGAUCAACUCAGGAAAUUUG